rnacentral:rRNA from 1 species
UAGUCCACGCCGUAAACGAUGGAUACUAGCUGUCCGACCUUCGGGUUGGGUGGCCAAGCGAAAGUGAUAAGUAUCCCACCUGGGGAGUACGUUCGCAAGAAUGAAACUCAAAGGAAUUGACGGGGGCCCGCACAAGCGGUGGAGCAUGUGGUUUAAUUCGAUGAUACGCGAGGAACCUUACCAGGGCUUAAAUGUAGUCUGACAGGGGUGGAAACACCUUUUUCUUCGGACAGAUUACAAGGUGCUGCAUGGUUGUCGUCAGCUCGUGCCGUGAGGUGUCAGGUUAAGUCCUAUAACGAGCGCAACCCCUGCCGUUAGUUGCCAGCAUGUAAAGAUGGGAACUCUAACGGGACUGCCGGUGCAAACCGUGAGGAAGGUGGGGAUGACGUCAAAUCAUCACGGCCCUUACGUCCUGGGCCACACACGUGCUACAAUGGCCGGUACAGAGGGCAGCCACACCGUAAGGUGGAGCGAAUCCUUAAAACCGGUACUCAGUUCGGAUCGGGGUCUGCAACUCGACCCCGUGAAG